rnacentral:tRNA from 1 species
UUUAAUCAACCAAAGCAUAACACUGAAGAUGUUAAGACGGCUGCUCCUGCACCCAAGGACA